rnacentral:rRNA from 1 species
UGCGUAGGCGCCCAGGAAAGUUAUUUGUUAAAGCCUCCGGCUUAACCGGAGAGAUGCAAGUAAAACUAUCUGGAUAGAGUUUAAGAGAGGAAAAUGGAAUUCCUGGUGUAGCGGUGACAUGCGUAGAUAUCAGGAGGAACAUCAAUGGCGAAGGCAGUUUUCUGGCUUAAAACUGACGCUGAGGCACGAAAGCGUGGGGAGCAAACAAGAUUAGAUACCCUGGUAGUCC